rnacentral:lncRNA from 1 species
UGCUAACGUGGAAGAUGGCAAGGAGCCCUGUGCCUUGUCCUCUCACUCUGGGAGCACAGGCUGCAAGUUGGAAGGGCAACAAAAAUGUUCUCUCUCCAGGUGUGAAACACAGUGGGCAUGUAGAGCUGCGACACGGAGUGCCAUACAACUGCCAUCUGCAGGGUUGAGGUGAUGGAUGCCUUUCUUGGGUGUCAAGCUGAAAACAAGAGAACUGUGCUGUCAUCUGAGGAGAAUGUAAUCACUCCUUCCACAACUGUUGCAUGUCCCUGUGGGUACAACAGAGCAAUCACUGACCUCUCUGCCAGCAAGACUGGAUGGUCUAAAGAAUAAGAGA